AGACUGAGGAAGGCGAGAGGAGAGUCACUGAGGACCCCCAAGAGCAGAUGGCCACACGGCCUCCCGUCGCACUGUCUUCCCUCAGCACGGGCUGGGCGUCUCUGCCCUCACCUAAACUGCCACCAAAUCGUCCAUGUGACCAAGAGCUCUCCUCGCCUUUCUUGAAACACAGAGAAGGCCAGGAGCCGUGUGUCUGUGCCUCCCUCCAGGGGCUGGGCUCGACGGCCUGUGGCCAGGGCCCCAGCAGGACUGCAGCUGUCCCACAGAGAGGACCCACAAAACAUCGGUAGUGACCAUGAGACCAGGUGGACAGGAACGCGCCUUGCCAUAGGGGAGCAGAGGCCACAGAGGGCACUGGCUCCUGCCAUCUCUGGUGACUCCCAGCCGUCACUCCCCUUGGCCAUCAGUGCUCCUGCAGUGGCUGAUGUGCAUGUUGUCCCAGGCCACCUUAGAGUGUGAGUGAGGCUCUCAUGACAGAUGCAGAGUCAGGACCAUGUUCUGUCAUUCCAGAAAGCACGGCCCCUCCUCCACCAGCUCAUGGUGGGGAGAGUCCCCCAAGGCCAGUAGGUGGUGCCCAGCCCUACCUGCUGGGCUGGCACGGCACACAGAGCCUGCCGAGCCUUUUCCAGCUUGGCCCACACUGCUCCUCUGCCCAGAGCCUCUCUUCUCCCUGAAGGUCAGCUCAGGUGCCACUCCCCUCCUGGCCUGUCCCUCCAAGGGUCAGGGCUUCUGCAGGUGCUGGGCCAGGCAGCUACCCCUAGACAGCAGGCAGAAGGGCAAGCCCUUGUC
rnacentral:lncRNA from 1 species